UACGUAGGGUGCAAGCGUUAAUCGGAAUUACUGGGCGUAAAGCGUGCGCAGGCGGUUUUGUAAGUCUGUCGUGAAAGCCCCGGGCUCAACUUGGGAACGGCAUUGGAAACUGGCGAGCUAGAGUGUGGCAGAGGGGGGUGGAAUUCCGCGUGUAGCAGUGAAAUGCGUAGAGAUGCGGAGGAACACCGAUGGCGAAGGCAGCCCCCUGGGCUGACACUGGACGCCUC
rnacentral:rRNA from 1 species